rnacentral:lncRNA from 1 species
CUUCAUAAGGAAUUUGUCCAUACAUAUUUCACGGAAGAAGGAAACCCUAAUUGUUUGAAAUGAUGCACGCUACUUAUAAAGCAGAUGUCAGACAUUUCAAGCUAACAACUCAAAAAUCUGCCUGGACCCCCAUUUUUCCUCUGUUGCCAAAAAUUUAAAGAUAGGGAAUAUUAUAACAUACUUGGGAUUAAAUACUUCAAUCUGAUGGAUAAUGUUCUCCUGUCACACAAAAAGUAAGUUAGAAAGUAGUAGCGCAAGGGGAGGAAACAUAUGUUGUGCUAUUUAAUAAAAUUCCAAAAGCAAUAUUUUCUAAUGUGAGGGGAAAAAAAGAAAAAGAGAACUAUCACGGUAAAUGUGGCUUUAAGAGCCAUCGAAACAGAAUUGAUAUCGCUAGUGCAAAUAUCUCAAAAUUGCAUGAGCACAAAAGAUGAAUAUAAUUUAUAAAUAAAGAAUAAGCUAACUGCACACAUCCAAUGCUUGGAGCAUAUAAAUGUUUUGCUCAUGCAAAUUUUCACUAGAAAGGAACACCUUCAAAUAUUCAAAAUGGUGCAAUCUAGAUAACAGUCCUAUUAAUUUUUCAACUUCAAAUGCAAGUCCUCUAUUAUUUAUUUAUUUAUUGUCACUUUUUUUGGUCAGGGGAGCUGGAGUUAUAGAGUGCAUACCCGCAACUUCGGAGACUUCUUCUAAACUCAAAACCAGCCUUCUGAAUAGCCUUGAAACAGUCCUAAAUCCUCAGGACUAAAGAGACUUGCUUGUUUUGGUUAAGACAGUUUCAGCAUCAGGUGUUCUACUAAACCUACAAUAUUGCCUCCCCAGGUGACUCACUAGAUCAUCCUACUGCAGGACCAAUGCUAUCAUAACUGGGGAACUCUGAAGCACUGUCACGUUGUAAUCAACUAGAGCUUAUUUUCUGACCCAAACAUAUCCUUGACCUUAUCAUUCUGAUGAAAUUAUUCCUCACAACUCCCCAACCUUCAAACAAUUCUGCGGCAUUAACUGUCAUAAGUUUUGCAUGAUGCAAAAUUACUGAUACACUGGGAAAGCC